rnacentral:rRNA from 1 species
UACGAAGGGGGCUAGCGUUGUUCGGAUUUACUGGGCGUAAAGCGCACGUAGGCGGAUUGUUAAGUUGGGGGUGAAAUCCCAGGGCUCAACCCUGGAACUGCCUUCAAUACUGGCAAUCUAGAGUCCGGAAGAGGUGAGUGGAACUCCUAGUGUAGAGGUGGAAUUCGUAGAUAUUAGGAAGAACACCAGGUGGCGAAAGGCGGCUCACUGGUCCGGUACUGACGCUGAGGUGCGAAAAGCGUGGG